AUCGAUAAGGAGGUGCAGGGGAAAAUUCAGGGUCAGACUUGGUUGAGAGGAUUGAAGAGGGCUUUAUUGAAGCCCUUUCACCUCAUCCUGAUUAAAUUAUGCAUUCAUUACAGUCAGUUUUUGGCGGAUAAUGUAGUCCAGCUGACUCGCAGGGUAACUCCCUACCGGUUAAGAAGAUUUCUGUUGGAAAUCGUGUUUUUGUUUUGAAGGAUUUCAACGGCUCUUUGGGAUAAAACACAUCCAGUGCACUUUGGGCUCACGACUAUGAGCACGAAUUUAUUGAUGUUAUUGUGGACCAGGAAGUGACCAUUCGGCCAAUAAUUCAUUGAUUAUUUGGUUAUUGAGAGUUGGGGUGUUUUGACAGCGAAUGCACUUGCAAAACUUUCGAGGUUGUGAAUUUUUAGCAGCAGGCAUUUUGGGUUGGCCAGACAACAAUUCAAUAAAAAAUUAAUAGAUUCAUAUCGUUCGAAAAAUUUCAUUGUGUGGAGAAUGGAAGUUGUCUAGUCAUUUCGUCUUUUAUUGUUCGUUUAAGGCCGGAAAAAAUUGACUGGAUAAAAACAACAACACGACAAUUUGUUCAAAGGAAUACAAAUUGUAGAUAAUUGACAAAAUAGUUUUCCAGUGAAAAAGAAUUUUAGUUGAUGAUUUUAGUUGACUGAUUUUCUAUUGGAAUUUUCCACGAGUUACGGAAUGUUGAAUAAAUUUAAUUAUAUCCAGACAACUUAUCACUUCUAUUUUUAUUCAUAUACUCCACGUUCAAUUCAUGAGUUGCAAAAUUUUUUAGUAAACAGUAAAACCAUAUCAGUAGCAAAGUGGUAAACAGGGUCAAAUAGAUUUAAUUUUUUUUCGCAGUUUUUGAGGAGUAUCUUGGAACCUGAGAGAAAUCGCAAAAUUUGCCAAACUUUCAAUUUCUAAAAACUUUCUAACAGACUGUGGUUACUUUUACAGGAAAAAUUAUGGUAAAAAUAUUAUUUUUCUAGCAGAUUGCCUCAAUAUUCCUAAAAACCGGUUACUGCGAUGUAAUUCCAAAACCUCGAGAAAGCAACGAGCAUCCACACCGUGUCGUAAUUAUCCCCAACUUCCUCCAAUAACAUCAAUAAAUAACGAAAGAAUGAAAAAAUUGGAUAAAGUACUCACUGUUGGACGCCAAAUGUGUCUGAUGUUGUGCAGCAGCUCUCUAAAAAAUUCCCAAGAUAUUCCACAUUAAAAAGUAUAACUAAAACACUAUCAUAAUUAAAAAAACCAAUAGAAGCACAUUUUGUAAAAUCAGCCGUAUACCAGACGCUUCAAGGCUCUUGGAGUCUAACGAUCUACUACGUGGUUUAGCUCCAAAAUAAUCAUCCUUUUUACCCCCCUUUAUCCACCGAAAGUACGAGGACAUCGUGAUUAACCUCAACCGGCAAACAAUCGUCAAAAUUCCAGAACAGUCGUAACUAGAGCUCAAUAAAAAACUACAAUCACGCGAGCCAAUAGACUCGACAUCACCUCAAGCACAGUAAACACAAAAUGUUCACUUCACUAUACCCAGUGCCACUGAGCCCAACUCUCCCCAGCACAAUCGGUACAUCAAAAGAAAUGUAAAUAUCUACAACACGAUUCAAUAAAAGUGUGCAUGUUUAGCAGGUGCGUAACACAAAUGUAAUCGUCACUCCACAGUCACAUGAUAACUCGCGACCAUUGAUUACCAUAAAACGAGAGAAAUGAAGGCUUAUCUGGACUCAAUCCACGACCAACUGAUUCAAGAUUUAUUCAAUUCAACUGACCGAUAAAAGUGGCCGUCAGCUGGUGAUUGACCUUCAUGACGUGAAUCCCGUAAAUUGAAGUUUUUUUUUUCAGUCACUGUUGCUUAAUGAUUUUAAUGAGUUAACGGUAGCCAUUAAAAAUCAGUAAUGACAACAACCAUUUGUGGUCGAAAGUGUGAGUACUGAGUAUGACGUUCAACGUGUCAAAGAAAAAUUUAUGAAAAAUAAUGUCCAAGAGUCGAAUGAAAGAUAUGUGGAGUGAUCUCAGCUAGUGAUAUCGAUGGUCACCCCUCUGAGCCAGAUCAAUUUCCAUUGUAAAUGGUGCAUUGUUAGUAACCUCGUGUGACAUUUUUGUAUGACAAUGACACGUGAAAGAGAAGUGGAGGAUGUUAAUAUUUAUUUUCGUGUUGAAACUCACGAGUGAGAAGUGGCAAUAGAAAAUUUAUCGAGAAAAAAAAAUGGCUUCGACGAAAUCGAUUGCACCAGAUUUCAACUCAAUAUCGAGGAGUCCAAAAUAGAAUAGAUGAAAUGAUUUUAAUUACCAGGGAGUUUAUCUCUUAUUGAUAACGAGUGUUGGAUCACAAGACUAAUUAAGAUGAUUUUCCGCGAGUAGUGGAUAGGGAUUUUGUCGAUAAUGAUCGAUAAUUGUCGAUAAUAGAAGGGGAGAAUUCGAUUGUUCGUACACGGAAGUUGAGCGCCUCAUGUAUACCGAGUCACUGAGGAACGCUUGAGUCUCUUGGAUAUUCCAGAUCUUAAAUUCCACCUCUCUUUGAACGUAUGCACACUUGUUGUAAUGCAAUACGUUGCAGUGGGAAUUUUUUUCUGGUGUAUCGAGGGUUUAUGGUUUGUCGAGGAGGAAGUGGAGGGGCUGGAUUAACUUUUAUAACUUCAUUUAUUCGUCACUCCGAUAUGAAAGAGGAUUUUGAAGGUCGAAAGACGAUUUUUCAUAAAUUGAUUAUGAAAAUCAUAAUAAAAUUAUGAAUAGGAAGGAAUGGAAAAUUUCUAUUUUUUUUUCGUAGAACAAACUGGUUUUUUUCUUGGUAAACACCUUAAGCAGCUUUUAUAGGCCAAGUUUUUAACAAUAGAGCGCCCAAAGACAGAUAAUCGAUAAUUAAUUAGGGAAAACAUUCAAUGACUAUCUAUUUUUCUUGGACAUUAACUUUCGAAAAGAUCUGAUAAAGAAAUUAAUAUCCCCCUGAGCCGUACGGUAGAGGUUAUCCAGGGUUUCCCUUGACCCUUGUGUAAAUGUAGUACAGUUGGAGAAAACGUCGGUCCCAUGGGCACCACAGGAAAAGGGGAGCCACGAAGGCAUGACAAAAAGGAGUAAAUAAGGCGUAAAAGGCAAUUAAUUAAGCAGGCAGGGUUCGAUGUAAAACAAAGAAGACAUUUGUAAUAUCAAAGGAAUAUCGAAUAAAAAAAUAACAAUAAUAUCCGCCUAAAUUUUCUUCCAAGGAAAUAAUUAUUAAGACCAUUCGACAGGUAAUCUAAUGAAGAAAUUAAUAGGCUUCCAGGGCAAUCUUCUCUCCCCUCCCUUCCCGAAGGGUCUAAUUAUCCAGAUUAUCCAAUGUCUAUGAUAAAAAAUUAUCUUCCGCAUGCACCCAACUAGACACGACGGCAUAGCAACUUUGAAAAUAAACAUCAGCUCGUAAUAGUAAGAAAAGACACGUUGAUACUGUUGAUAAGGUAAACACGUGGUAGAUAGCUUUGAAAGUACUCACCGCCUUA